rnacentral:rRNA from 1 species
UUCCUACGGGGGGCUGCAGUGGGGAAUUUUGGACAAUGGGCGCAAGCCUGAUCCAGCCAUGCCGCGUGCGGGAAGAAGGCCUUCGGGUUGUAAACCGCUUUUGUCAGGGAAGAAAAGGUUCUGGCUAAUACCUGGGACUCAUGACGGUACCUGAAGAAUAAGCACCGGCUAACUACGUGCCAGCAGCCGCGGUAAUACGUAGGGUGCAAGCGUUAAUCGGAAUUACUGGGCGGAAAGCGUGCGCAGGCGGUUAUGCAAGACAGAGGUGAAAUCCCCGGGCUCAACCUGGGAACUGCCUUUGUGACUGCAUAGCUAGAGUGCGGCAGAGGGGGAUGGAAUUCCGCGUGUAGCAGUGAAAUGCGUAGAUAUGCGGAGGAACACCGAUGGCGAAGGCAAUCCCCUGGGCCUGCACUGACGCUCAUGCACGAAAGCGUGGGGAGCAAACAGGAUUAGAUACCCGUGUAGUCGAG